rnacentral:rRNA from 1 species
UCCAGACUCCUACGGGAGGCAGCAGUGAGGAAUAUUGGUCAAUGGGCGGAAGCCUGAACCAGCCAAGUCGCGUGAGGGAAUAAGGCCCUACGGGUCGUAAACCUCUUUUGCCGGGGAGCAAGGGCGGGGACGUGUCCCGGCCCGGAGAGUACCCGGAGAAAAAGCAUCGGCUAACUCCGUGCCAGCAGCCGCGGUAAUACGGAGGAUGCGAGCGUUAUCCGGAUUCAUUGGGCGUAAAGCGCGCGUAGGCAGCCUGUUAGGUCGGGGGUCAAAUACCGGGGCUCAACCCCGGUCCGCCCCAGAUACCGGCAGGCUUGAGUCUGGUAGGGGAAGGCGGAAUUCCCAGUGUAGCGGUGGAAUGCGCAGAUAUUGGGAAGAACACCGGCGGCGAAGGCGGCCUUCUGGGCCACGACUGACGCUGAGGCGCGAAAGUGUGGGGAGCAAACAGGAUUAGAUACCCCCGUA